UAUACACACAUUUCUUAGAUUUUUUUGAAAGAUGUAUUAUCGAUGUUGUGCAAGCUUAAUUAUUAUACAAAAACUAGGUACACGUUCACAUUUAUAAAUUAACAGAAAAUAUACAUAUACAUGUAGGUCUACGUAUAAAUGAACAGAAUGUAAUAUAAAUUUUCAAACAAACAGUAUGCUGCAUUGCCUCCAUGACCUAAUAUCUCAAAGACUAAAUCUUAUAUAAUAUCACAAAGCACACAUGUAAGCUUUGCACUGGACUAAACUGUAGUUUUCGCACCAAUGCAUUAUGUAAAUUAGCUUUUGUCAUACAGUAAUUAGAAAGCAACAAUGUUUUUGUUCCAUCAACCAAAAAUCAUCAUUAAGACACAAGCCUAACUGUUUAUAUACCGACACCUGCACUUCCUUUUCUAUACUUUGCUCCGGUAGGCCUACUUUGCCACUUUUACUGCCAUUUACAAUUUCUUUAUUUUAUCUUUUCUUUAUUGAAGUCUUUUAAUUAAAACUAUUUUUUUCUGCUGUUAAUCAAAUUCCAUUUUGAUGGAAAUACAUAGGCUGCACAAAAAAACGUCCUUUAAUUUACCACGCAAGCUAAAAUUAAAAUUCUGCCACCUAAACAAAAGCUGUGGAUGGCAAACUGCCCCCCUCCCCCUCGGCUCUCUCCCUUACUGCCUCAUGUGUCUGUCUACUCUGCAGAGUACAUUCAACUCGCCCCGAAUACAUGCUCACUGUCUAACGCAAACCUAACCAAACGUAACCCUAAUGUUCCUCGUUAAAUACAUCUCUUUAGCUAAAUCCAGAAGCGAUAAAAACGUGUUAUUUCGUCGCUAAUGUAAAUGGCUAUUACAGUAAUAACAGUGCGUUAUCUUGGCGCGCGUCUCUCACUGGACGCCUUCACGUCAGCUGGUGCUGUAGAAGUAAUGAAGAGGUGAAUCCACAGUCUACAGUUUUGGGACCUACUUGAGCACCGGCGUCCGAGCGAUUCGCCGAGACACCGUGUGUUCUCCGUGCUGUUUUGAGUGUCAGUAACUUCUGUGCCGUGUACUGCCAUCAUCUCAUCAUGCCUGGCAAGAAAUGAAUCCUGAUUCAGCGCUCGACUCACACAGAAUCGCGCGCGGAGAGAACUUUGCUUCGCAACUCUUGUGUGGAUACGGCACGCAUCACGGAAGCGCGCGGAGGAUCAACAACUUUCCUCAGAAACAGCGCUAGCGUCCUUCCUAUGUUGCUUCAAACCCGUCCAUGUCACCAAUUAUUGUCGCUCUAAUUGGACGAGAAUGUUUCAGAGAUCAUAUCUGCUCAGACUCGGGGAAAACAUCGUUGGUAAGCCUUGAGAAGCGGAUAAUAAAUGACUUUUAUGCACCUCAGACUCGCGUCCUCACCAGGUGGACUGUGAAGAGACAGAAGAGGAAUGUUUAUCCGAAAUUUAUUGCCGCUCAGUUUGGGGUUUUUGCCGUUUCUGUUCAGUCACUGUUUUCUCUCAGUAUUUCUUCCGUUAUUGCAGGUAAGUUGGACUGAGUAGUUAAGUCGUUGAUGAUAAUUCAUAGUCAAGUACAAUAACGGACCGUAGCGAAAGUGCACGUGCAUAACGAUCACAGUGUUUGACCACUGCGCUGAGAUUGGUCAAAUUUAUGAAUAUAUCUAGCUAUUAACAUAUAUUCUUAUGUAUUUGUAUACUUAAUCACCGUCCGACCCCAUUGUAAUUUAGGAAUUGACAACUAUUAAAUCAUAAAUGGCAUUUAAAUAUGUCAUAUUAUAAAUUAUUAACUUACGACAGUUCAAAUGAAUAUGCUUAGAUUUGAUUUGGAGAAUAGUUUAUGAAGAUUUCACUUGAAUGCACUUGAUGGUUGAAAGAAAACAUACAUGUGUAAUAUUUUGAUCUUACACAUCUAAUAGUAGUAUUUACUAUAAGACUAGUGCAUUAUUAUGCACUACUUUUUAUUGAAAGUGCAUCCCCUCUCAGUUCCAGCCCUGAUUAAAGUCAUUGAUAUUGAACUGUUUUCUGGAGACAUGGCUUUUGGUCCUUUACUACUGUCCCCUGUGGCAACAGUGCUCACAAGACUAGCAAAAGUGUUUCCAGGAUGGCCUAUUAGGGGGAGGCAGUGUCAGGGUUCACCCCUCAAUACUCCCACUCCUCUGGGGGUCUGAGGCUCUGCGGUGUGGGUGGGUGCUCUCUUUGAGAGACCUCAGCCUCCACACACCCUUCAUUCUCCACUUCAGUGGGAGGGAGCUCCCAUUCGCCAGCGUGCCGCGAGAAAAAAGAGAGUGCUUGUGUUGUUGUGGUGUUCUCUUCAUUGUAAAUUUUUGCAAAAGGGGAGCUCCAGAAGUCAUGCUCCCGAACCACAGUGGCACCGCUGGAAGGGAGCUGCCAGUUGCCAUGCCAGUGUAGGCCCUACCCACCGUUACCGCCUCCACCCCCUCCUCCACCACCCCCAAGGCUCCUGGCUCCAACUGGGUCAUCAAUCAGGAUGAUAAACAGCAAAAGAGAAGCCCAUCUGAAGUUGCUGAUGCAUUGGUCUUGACUCAGGGGAGAAUUAUUGAGUGAUUUAUACUCCAAAGUUGCUGGCUAAUACCUCACAGCCCUUUAAUUAAUGGGAGGUUUGAGAGAAUGAGGAGUGUAAUGAGGAGUAACAAAGCGAUGUUUGUAGUAUUUCUCCUGUGUAACCGUGUACCAGUGCUCUUUUACAUUAAAAUAAUGCUGAUUCUCAUGCUGAAGACUGUGCUCAUCUGGUAAGAACUCUAAACUAGAGAUGCACGGAUACAAAAUUUCUCAGCCGAUACCGAUAGCCGAUUAUUCAGAAUUAGCGAUGGUAAAAUUCACAGAUUCGCAUUGGUGCAUCGGCAUAAAAGUUAACGAUGUGGUGCAUCGAUUUAAAAAGUGUGCAUCGGAUACAAGCUGGCAUUUGUAUCGUGAUGCAUCUUUUCUAACAUAUUUGCAGCGGUUUAUUUAUAUAUAAUUAUUAGUAGAUGCGCUAUACGUUUAUUAUUUAGAAAGUGAACAAUAAUUUGUGAACAUUAUUUUAUAUGUAGAUGGAUUUCUCCUCUGUAAACUGUUUCUCAAGCGCGUUCUCUCAUCACCACUGCUGCUACGUGAAUAUGACUUAUCACAACACUACGGAGACCGAGGCAUGUCCUGAGAGUCACAUAGAAUAUAGAUUAACAUGGCACUACAAUGUUUGUGAAAGGGCCAUGCGUUAAAAAUCAGAAGGAAGUUAAUUUAUGAUUUGCUGUCUGACUGAACCAAAGAAGUAAAAGCAAACUAUCUGUACCAUAUUUAGGUCCCUUUGAUUUCCGUUUUGCAGAAUUCAUGGACGGAAUCACGGAAUCCAUUCAUAAAAAUGGAAUUUACUGUAUAACGUGGAAUGUCAUGGAAUUUGUCAAAAGUAGGUGGGUACAAUUAAAUCAAAUCGUGAUUUGUUAUUAAACCACAAAAAGACUCUUUGAAUAUGAUUCCUGCAUGUUCUGCUUGAAUGCCGCAGAUGCGCAAAUAUGUGUACUACACCUACUGAAGCACACAUGACGCUCGCUUGUUUUUUCCAGUGCAUUCAUCUGACAACAUGAACACAAACUCCACAGCUGCUCUGAGAGUCACUUCAUGAGCAUUUUACUGUUUAAUUUUUAGAAAAAAAUAUUGUCAUAACAUAUACACACGCAGAAACUUCAAGAUCACGGCAACCCGUCAAAAUAAAAGUUUGGUUUAACUUGUAACAGAAGUAUAGCCCUAUUACUAUUGUAGUACUAUGUACUACUAUUGUAUUACUAUUGUAUGGUAUAAUGUAUGCCUUAAUGUAAUACUACUAUUAAUAAUAAUAAUACAAUUUUAAUUAUUACAAUACAAAUACAAUACAAAAAAUACAAUAAUAAAUGUUAAGAUUUUGGAAGGAAUAAUCACAAUUUUUCAUCCAUGUUUUAAUUUUGAAAAUAAAUAAAAUAGAAUUUGAGAAAAAAUAAAAAGUUUAGAGCCCUACAUAUUGAAUUGCAUAGCAUCAUAUUUCUUUCCAUUGCAUUGUAUUGCAUUGAAUAGCAUUGUGUUGAAUCGAAUUGAAAUCGGAUGGAUCGUAAUAUGGGUGAAUCACAUUGCAUCACAUCGGUAGCUGCUUCAUAUCUAGCUUUAAUGUAUCGUAUUGUUGGCUAUGCAUUGAGAUGCGUUUCGCAUCUGCCUCAGUUAUGGAGAUGCACAUCCCUAUUCAGAAUGAUAUCUGCUAAUCCCAAUAGUUGAUGUGGUUUGUGUGUGUUUAGAUAGAUAAUAUAAAAAAAGUCAAAGACAAUAUUAGGGUUAAAGGAAAAAAAAUCUCUCCCAACUAAUACUGUAAACUAAACAGGGAACCCUCUCAUUUGGUAAAUAUAACAACAGAGCCCAAACUAUUAUAUUCAACUGCUAUUUAUUUUCAGACAUAAUUAUGCUAUAAAUAAAUGCUAUAUAUUUUUUAAAAUACUAAAUAUAUAUUAAAUGCUUUUAUCAGCCGAUACUUAUGAUUGGCCGAUACAUCUGUGCAUCCCUAUUCUGAACCUUUCUUAAAAUCGGGCCAUGUUUUCACAAUCUUGCUUAACGAUGACCUCACUGAUUGUAACUAUGUAACCUUUCCACAAACACACAUGCUGCAUCUCUUGUGUUUGUUUAUAGGUUUUGAGAACAUCUACUACAUCAAAUUCAGUGUUUGUUGUUACAUGCUGGUUUUGAUGCAACGGUGGCUCCCUCCACUGUAUCCCCCAUAAUACCCUGGAGGAGAGAGAUGGAGAUCUUAGUUCUGGGGACAGUAAGCUGUGCAUCUGUGGUCUUCCUCCUCCUGACUGUCAUCAUUUGCUACAAG